rnacentral:rRNA from 2 species
GAGUUUGAUCGUGACUCAGAGCGAACGCUGGCGGCAGGCUUAACACAUGCAAGUCGAGCGGGCGUAGCAAUACGUCAGCGGCAGACGGGUGAGUAACGCGUGGGAACGUACCUUUUGGUUCGGAACAACACAGGGAAACUUGUGCUAAUACCGGAUAAGCCCUUACGGGGAAAGAUUUAUCGCCGAAAGAUCGGCCCGCGUCUGAUUAGCUAGUUGGUGAGGUAAUGGCUCACCAAGGCGACGAUCAGUAGCUGGUCUGAGAGGAUGAUCAGCCACAUUGGGACUGAGACACGGCCCAAACUCCUACGGGAGGCAGCAGUGGGGAAUAUUGGACAAUGGGCGCAAGCCUGAUCCAGCCAUGCCGCGUGAGUGAUGAAGGCCCCAGGGUUGUAAAGCUCUUUUAUGCGGAAGAUAAUGACGGUACCGCAAGAUAAGCCCCGGCUAACUCGUGCCAGCCGCCGCUGUAAG